rnacentral:tRNA from 1 species
GGAGCUGUGGCUCAGUGCUAGAGCAUCUGCCUGGCAUGUAGAAGGUUCCAGGUCCAAUCUCUGGCAUUGUCU